AAGCGGUGGAGCAUGUGGCUUAAUUCGAGGCUACGCGAAGAACCUUAUCCUGGACUUGACAUAUGCGAAAGCGGCAGGAAGUAGCCCGCGGAAACGUGGGGCGAACGGUAACCAGUCCGGAACCUGCUACAGGUGCUGCAUGGCUGUCGUCAGCUCGUGUCGUGAGAUGUCGGGUUAAGUCCCAUAACGAGCGAAACCCCUGUCUCCAGUUGCCAGCGAGUAAAGUCGGGGACUCUGGAGAGACUGCCGGUGUUAAACCGGAGGAAGGCGGGGAUG
rnacentral:rRNA from 1 species